rnacentral:rRNA from 1 species
GAGACAACGGUGUGCGAUCUAGGGGGUAGGUGUCGGCCGUGAGAGACCACCGGCGGGGAGGGUAAGCAGUGGUAACAGCCGCCUGUGCAUCCGGGUACGAGAAGGGGCGGGGCGGGGAAGAAGUAUAGGCUAGGGGCUUCACGAGCUCCUCCGCGAGCUCGAGCCGUACGAGCGGCCGCUGUGGCCCCGGGAGGGAGGAGGACUACGUGAGAAGCAGCGGCGAUACUCGCAGAGGUGGAAUAGGGCGCGCGGUACUUAGGAGGGAGGGGGGACGAGCUCUGCGGUAGUUCAGACCUCGUCCUCGUCGACGACGAGCGCUGGAGGUCAAGGAAGAAAGGUACCUACACGACGACGAGCCCCGGGAGGGAUACGAAGAGGAGCGAGCAUGCCCAGGUCCCAAUCGACGAGUCCUCGGUACCACACAAGGCACACCGCGACGGAAGCGCCGGCGUCGGCAACAACACAGAGCACACAGCGCCGUCGGUUACCCCAGCCCUUCCAGACUCUGACCUCCAGGGACGAGCGGUUGAGUGUCUGCGGGACUUACCAAGUCUAAAAGACUUCCUCUUCCUCCACGGCUUUCCCCUACCCUCGUUGUUCUCAGACUUAGAUUCUCAGUUUCUUCAGCUUGGACUUCUUCACGUCCCUUCUUAAUAUCAACGCACACCGACCGACCAAGUCCCCUUAAAGUCCCGCCCGCGCCGCCGCGCCCACGGCCUCGUCCGAGGAUCCGUGACCGCUAGACAGCCUGCCUAUAAUCUUUGCUUCCACUCCAACAUAGAACAAUCCACCCAGAAGUAACCGGCAGCUUUAGUAUGGACCGGUUAGACUACCCCGACGGCAGCUUUAGUAUGGACCGGUUAGACUACCCCGACGGAUGACGAGGUCUUGAGUACGUCUACUACGUAUUAUUAGAACAACAUCGGACCGGCUAGGCACUUAUAAACUAACAUCCACUUCCUCCUCGCCGGCGGGUGAGCUGCCACGCCACAUCCCGCCGCUCCCUCCGGCCGUCCCUCCGGAGUUACGCCACGUCCUGCCGCUCCCUUGGCAGGUCGCUCCGCUGCUACGCUACGUCCCUAGGUCCGGCGGCACGUCCCUCCGCUGUCCUGACGACUCGAAGCAGAGCCCGCCACCGCUCCUUUCCGUCCCUCACCCCGGUCCCUGUGCUAAUCCAAGCCAAAGGAAAAAACGCUCAACCAAUCUACCAAUCUAAUCGCACUAAACUCCCCGACGCCUACGCCCUGCCUCUCAAAGUAUAAAAGGAGAACACCUCAUGCCAGUCAGAUAACUUUGACGAUUCGCGUAUGGUCUAGAACUUAUUUAAUUACUACUGACAACCUAACCCAGCACACCCGAAGUAGGAUACCACGACUACACAGACAUAUGCAAAACGCCCCACGUACAUCCUUUCAAGAACAAACUAACAAAUUAUCAUCACCUCUACGUGGCCAAACUUAGUGCCUUAAGGGUAAAACAAGUUCUUAGAUGAGGAAAAUAUUUCUUUAUAUUCUCGC